rnacentral:rRNA from 1 species
CGUAGGGUGCGAGCGUUAAUCGGAAUUACUGGGCGUAAAGCGUGCGCAGGCGGCUUCGCAAGUCAGACGUGAAAUCCCCGGGCUUAACCUGGGAAUGGCGUUUGAAACUACGGAGCUGGAGUGUGGCAGAGGGAGGUAGAAUUCCACGUGUAGCGGUGAAAUGCGUAGAUAUGUGGAGGAAUACCGAUGGCGAAGGCAGCCUCCUGGGCCAACACUGACGCUCAUGCACGAAAGCGUGGGGAGCAAACAGGAUUAGAUACCCUGGUAGUCCACGCCCUAAACUAUGUCAACUAGUUGUUGGGGGAGUUAAAUCCCUUAGUAACGCAGCUAACGCGUGAAGUUGACCGUCUGGGGAGUACGGUCGCAAGAUUA